CUGAGGAGCAGCAAGCUGAGUGAAUGCAUUGGUUUCAGAUAGAAGGUGAAUGAAACACCAACUUUGACUGAGAAAUCCAAGUUUGUUUCAGCAAAAUUCAGCUCUAAUCCCAAACGGGCAAGGUCCUCAUACUUAAAUACCUGACUGAAUGCCGAGUAAUUCUACUAACUUCAGUUAAAAUCGAGAUCCACAAAAGGGACCUGAUUAUUUAAAUCAACAUUUCUGACCUUGCACCGAAGAAUC